ACAUGCAAGUCGAGCGGUAACAUUUCUAGCUUGCUAGAAGAUGACGAGCGGCGGACGGGUGAGUAAUGCUUGGGAACAUGCCUUGAGGUGGGGGACAACAGUUGGAAACGACUGCUAAUACCGCAUAAUGUCUACGGACCAAAGGGGGCUUCGGCUCUCGCCUUUAGAUUGGCCCAAGUGGGAUUAGCUAGUUGGUGAGGUAAUGGCUCACCAAGGCGACGAUCCCUAGCUGGUUUGAGAGGAUGAUCAGCCACACUGGGACUGAGACACGGCCCAGACUCCUACGGGAGGCAGCAGUGGGGAAUAUUGCACAAUGGGCGCAAGCCUGAUGCAGCCAUGCCGCGUGUGUGAAGAAGGCCUUCGGGUUGUAAAGCACUUUCAGUCAGGAGGAAAGGUUAGUAGUUAAUACCUGCUAGCUGUGACGUUACUGACAGAAAAAUCACCUACUAACUCCGUGCCAGCAGCCGCGGUAAUACGGGAGGGGUGGCGGAGCGUUUAAUCAGGAAAUUAACUGGGGCGUGAAACGUACCCACGCUGUUUGUUUAAGCGAG
rnacentral:rRNA from 1 species